AUUGAACGCUGGCGGCAGGCCUAACACAUGCAAGUCGAGCGGAUGAGUGGAGCUUGCUCCAUGAUUCAGCGGCGGACGGGUGAGUGAUGCCUAGGAAUCUGCCUGGUAGUGGGGGACAACGUUUCGAAAGGAACGCUAAUACCGCAUACGUCCUACGAAAGAAAGCAGGGGCCCUUCGGGCCUUGCGCUAUCAGAUGAGCCUAGGUCGGAUUAGCUAGUAGGUGAGGUAAAGGCUCACCUAGGCGACGAUCCGUAACUGGUCUGAGAGGAUGAUCAGUCACACUGGAACUGAGACACGGUCCAGACUCCUACGGGAGGCAGCAGUGGGGAAUAUUGGACAAUGGGCGAAAGCCUGAUCCAGCCAUGCCGCGUGUGUGAAGAAGGUCUUCGGAUUGUAAAGCACUUUAAGUUGGGAGGAAGGGCAGUAAGUUAAUACCUUGCUGUUUUGACGUUACCAACAGAAUAAGCACCGGCUAACUUCGGGCCAGCAGCCGCGGUAACAC
rnacentral:rRNA from 1 species